rnacentral:rRNA from 1 species
GAUGAACGCUGGCGGCGUGCCUAAUACAUGCAAGUCGAGCGAACAGACGAGGAGCUUGCUCCUCUGACGUUAGCGGCGGACGGGUGAGUAACACGUGGAUACCCUACCUAUAAGACUGGGAUAACUUCGGGAAACCGGAGCUAAUACCGGAUAAUAUAUUGAACCGCAUGGUUCAAUAGUGAAAGACGGUUUUGCUGUCACUUAUAGAUGGAUCCGCGCCGCAUUAGCUAGUUGGUAAGGUAACGGCUUACCAAGGCGACGAUGCGUAGCCGACCUGAGAGGGUGAUCGGCCACACUGGAACUGAGGCACGGUCCAGACUCCUACGGGAGGCAGCAGUAGGGAAUCUUCCGCAAUGGGCGAAAGCCUGACGGAGCAACGCCGCGUGAGUGAUGAAGGUCUUCGGAUCGUAAAACUCUGUUAUUAGGGAAGAACAAAUGUGUAAGUAACUAUGCACGUCUUGACGGUACCUAAUCAGAAAGCCACGGCUAACUACGUG